rnacentral:rRNA from 1 species
CAGCCGCCGCGGGAAUACGAAGGGGGCUAGCGUUGCUCGGAUUUACUGGGCGUAAAGGGCGCGUAGGCGGACAGUUUAGUCGGGGGUGAAAGCCCGGGGCUCAACCUCGGAAUUGCCUUCGAUACUGGCUGUCUUGAGUACGGGAGAGGUGAGUGGAACUCCGAGUGUAGAGGUGAAAUUCGUAGAUAUUCGGAAGAACACCAGUGGCGAAGGCGACUCACUGGCCCGUUACUGACGCUGAGGCGCGAAAGCGUGGGGAGCAAACAGGAUUAGAUACCCGCGUAGUCCCUGUCUCUUAUAC